AGCUGAUUGUGAAAGUUUAUAGAUAACAGAUUACCCAUACAUCUGAUCUGGCAUUUGGUAUUAAUUGUGUGACUUCUUUAGUCUGCUGAAGAUAUAGGGGAAGAUGAAAACCCAAUCAAAGAAAUCACAGAUAAGAUUAUUGACCUUGUCAGUAAGCGUGAUGGAAACAACACACUAAUUGCUGCAGUUGCAGAAGUCAGAGUACAAAGACGACCAGUUAAAAACAAAACAGAUUUCUUGGUGCCAUUACUGAGCUCAGUCUUAACAGUAGCCUGGAUCUGUUGCCUGGUAACCGUUUUCUAUUGGUGCAUUCAAAAGCGCAGAAAGCAGAGCAGCCAUACUCACACAGCAUCUGAUGACAACACCACCAACAACGUAAGGGAGCAGCUAAAUCAAAUAAAAAACCCCAUAGAGAAACACGGAGCAAAUACUGUUCCAAUUAAAGACUAUGAAAACAAAAACUCUAAAAUCGCCAAAAUAAGGACGCACAAUUCAGAAGUGGAGGAAGAUGACAUGGACAAACACCAGCAAAAGGCCCGGUUUGCCAAGCAGCCAGCAUAUACUUUGGUAGACAGAGAUGAAAAGCCACCCAACAGCACACCCACAAAACACCCAAACUGGACAAAUAAACAGGACAACAGAGACUUGGAAAGUGCACAAAGUUUAAAUAGAAUGGAGUACAUUGUAUAGCAGACAGUUGGGUGCUGCCGUGCAGGGCCUUUAAAUAUCAUUAUAAAGGCACUCAAGAGCUUGUAGUUCUUAAACUGUUGUGUAAUAUUUGAGUCUAAGGCUAUUAUUUACUUAGAGUCCCUCUGUUAAUUUAAGUUUUGACAAGCUGGCUUACACUGGCAAUGAUAGUUGCUGUGGUUGGCUGGAAUACCAAGUGCUGCAUUUCACAUCUAUGCAAAACUAGUCAAAAGUGCCCUAAUGUAAAUUCAGCUGUAGCUGAUACAUCAUGGAAAUGUUUCAUAAGGUAUUACAGAGCCUUAUUACUCUUCCUUAGCGUUAAUUUUUUUUCUGCCAGAUGUCCCAAUUUAUACAGUUUCUUUAGAAUAAUGCAUUUUAUUUAUAUUUAUUGAAUCUGAGUUUUUUGUAUAUUGGUUUUAUGGUGACGUACAACUAGUUCUGUAUUUGAAAGUGCCUUUGCAGCUCGGAACCACAGCAACUAUCAAAAAUAAGUUUAUUAUUUAUUUUUUUAUUGUAUUUUUGUUGGGGGAGGGUGGGGGGAACUUGUCAGCAGUUGCUGGUAAAUGAAGAAUUUAAAGAGGAAAAUGUGUCAAAAAUAGAAGUUUGUAUAGAUAUGUAAAUAAUUCUUUUUUAUUAAUCACUGUGUAUAUUUGAUUUAUUAACUUAAUAAUCAAGAGCCUUAAAAUAUCAUUCCUUUUUAUUUAUAUGUAUGUGUUUAGAGUUGAAGGUUUUUGAUAGCAUUGUAAGCUUGUGGCUUCUUCAUUUUGAAUUUAUUUUCUUGUUACAUGUUGCCUAUAUGCCAAAACUAAGGUGUUCUAAAAUAGUUUAUUUUUAAUAGGACGGGCUUUCAUGCCUUGAUGCUGGUUUUUGUACAAUGUCAAAUGUUUGAAACACCUUCCAUAGUAUCACUUUAAGACUAUUUGUAAGUACUGACUGAGGCAGUUUAGAUAAUUAGACUAGAAAAUUUUUUUUGCUGCUUUAGACUUGAAACCGAGUGACAGGCAGAUAAUCUGCUAAGAAGCAGUUUAAGGGAACAAAACUGAGCUAUUACUUUAUGUAGAUGAAAUGUGAGUGGUUGCAUGUAAUUAAAAUAUCAAAUUAGCGUGUGAAGUUGGAAACACAGCAAUCUUAUUUUGUAAAUUCUGAUUUAUUUUUUUUCUCACCAUGAAUAUGUAAUACUGAACCACUUGUAGAUUUGAAUUUUUUUGUAAUCUACUGCAUUUAGGGAGUAUUCUAAUAAGCUAGUUGUUGAAUACUUGAACAGUAGAAUGUCCAGUAAGAUCACUGUGUAGGUUUGCCAUAGAUUACACUGCCCGCCUUAACAAGUGAGGAAAUCAAAGUGCUAUUACAAUGUUUAAGAUCAAAAGGCUUAUAAACAUACUAAUCUCAGUGGUUAACCAUUGAGAUCAUGAAGAUACCUUGUAUUGUGAUAUUAGUGUUAUAUGAAAAUGCAUCUUUGAUGUGUUGUUCCUGGCAAUAAAUCUUGAAAAGUAAUAUUUAUUAAAUUUUUUGUAUGAAAACAUAAAAUAGCGUGGAGAUUAUUGAGCUCGGAAGCGCUCCCAACUGGUUAGUUGUGCUACAACAGUGGCAAGUGAUGGCUUACGUUUUUAAGACCUGAUGCUGAUUUUGGUGAAGUCUAGCUUUUUGUUAGAUGAUUACAUGUUUCUGUCUGGCUUUCAUUCAAAUUGAAGGGGUUCAAAAGCAACCUGUCCCUUGUUCUUGAUGUCUUUUGGCUAAUGUACCUCUGUGUCCUUUUGAAAAGAGAAUGACAAUGUGACUGGAAUUGUGCAACUAGUUUACUUUGCAUGGACCAAUGAACUACCACCAGCUGGUAACCAAAUCUAAGUAGCUAGGCAAGAUACAAACUGCUGACCUGGAUGGGAAAGGAGCCAUAGAUUAUACUGAUGCCUAAUGAGCAAAAAAAUGCUUUAUAAAGCAUAAAAUAAACUCUUAGAAUACUCUGAAAUGGCUCAGUGCUUAACUAAUGCAGCCCCUCCUGGCUUUGAGGGGCUGGGUGUGCAACUACUGGUCAGUUGUGCUCUUUAUUUUAGCACGUUUCCCAAUGAAGCUGUAACUUCGGUUUGCUAAAGCUGACAGAAACAUUAAGUAACAAACUCAGCUGACAAAUAAUAUGAAAGAGGUUCGUAUUCCUUCUUGUACUUCAUCUUAAGCCACUCCAUGCAAGAAUUGAAAAAUAAUAGGCUUUUUCUUUCGUAUUUGUUUGUAAUAAAUGUAGAUAGCUUAUAUAAAGAUUGUUACAAUAUAAACACUUGAAAAUAAUCUGA